rnacentral:lncRNA from 1 species
GCUAAGUAUGGCUACAAGACACUCCUGUUUAUGGUGAAACAGAAUCUUCCUCAUCUUCCCCUAGGAAUGGAUAUGUUACAGUAACAUAUCUGUCUAGCCUUUAAUGAAUAUAUGUACACAUGUUCUACAACAAACUUGCAUUGAGUUUUGGUCCCAAUAUGGAGGAAAAUAUCUCCCUAUGCAUUUCUACUACAUACAAUCAUAUCCAGAUAUUUUUGUUAAAAGUAUUGAAAGAUUGAGAUCGCGAUAAAUCAGUCUCCGUGUAGUAUGUAAGUCACAAAUUCAAGUCAUAGAAUCAGCCACUAGUACUUGCGUCAGGAUAGACUGCUUAAAUUACACCCCUUAGGGUGUGCCCUUUCCCCAGACCCUAUGUAAGUAAACUCAGGAUGCUUCAAGCAGCGACCAGUCCUAUCAAAAGAUUGAGAUCAUAGUUGUUUUGUUGAUCUCUUCUCAAAUGUUAAUGUCUUAGGAUAAUACAGAUCACGGAUGGUGAGACCUGCAAUUAAUUGUAAUUGGAAAAUUACUACUAAUUUAAAGAUUUAACAGGAAAGAAGCUCGUUGGACACAUCAAUAAGAAGACUGAUAAUCAAUUUUAUAGUGAUGAAAACUACCUUCUCUUCCUGACUAUUUGCUACUUUUGCGGUGGGUCUACAUUUCAGGUGUUUGUGAAUGAUCAGUUCCUCAACUGGGAUCCAAACAAUCGUAUCAAAGUUAGAAUUGUAU